UAGCAGAUAUUGGCUGUAAAUCUAAACUCGUUCUACUCCACUAGUCAUCAUAUAAUGACAUUUACUAGAAGAAGAGACUAUUGGGGUAAAACGAGUUCAGAUUUACAGCCAAUAUUGUU